rnacentral:lncRNA from 1 species
CACGGCGCUGCUGAGGACAGCACGGCAGCAGACAAGUCAGGCCCAUGAGGAAGAAGAGGCUUUGCACUGCUCUCCAGACAACUUUUCAAACAACAAGAGAGGAUAUUUGAGCACAUUAGGUUUUGUGUCUUCAUUCUGGCCGUGUGAAGAUGUGCCUGCUUCGCCUUCCAUCAUGACUGAAGUUUCCUGAGGCCUCCCCAGCUAUGCUCCCUAUACAGCCUGCAGAACGGUCGGCUGCCUCCAAUCCUGAGGUCAUCACUCAUCAAGAGGGGAUAAUCCCAGGGACAGCAGGAUCUGCUUCGUUACUUGGAUUUAGGAGCCAGAAACCCAUCAGGCAACUAAACAGUAACAAUGACCCGCCAUUAAACACACUGAGAGAAGAGCAUGAUGAAGAGUUUGUACAAGAAGAAGCCAGGAGCACUUGCUGACAAUGCUUACAGAGACGCAGGCUUCUAUGAGCUCUGCCUGUUGAACUGCAGUAAAAAUAGAUCUCCUUCCCCAGAGAGGCUUGGAUGUGGGCACAAUAUCAGUUCAGACGAUGGUCAAUGCAUGUACUUAAUAGAGUGAAAAGACUUUGGACUGUGAAGUCAGAUUACCUGGGUCUGAAUUGUUAUUCUUCUACUUCUUUGUAGUAUGCUUUCACCACAUUAAAAAUUGUCUGAGCCUCAA